AGCUGGCCCGGGCUUUGUGAGAGCCCCAUUGGGGCCUGGCGGGGCCGCAGCUCGCUACGCCUGGGCCUCGGUCCCCCCUGGCACGCCCGGGCGCCGCAGGGAUGAUCCAGACGCACGGUGGCAAUGAUUCCCCGGGCCUUGUCUUGGAAGUUUGAAUUGGACUAUCUUCAGCUUCCAGCCGCUGGAUCUUGUUAUGCUUUUGACUGGUGCAUCAAAAAGGUCUCUGCUAUCAGAAAUCUUCUCCCCAAGUCCCACUAAGGAGGGAGGCGAGGACAAAGGAAUGAAAUACGAAGCUCCUCAGUUUAUGCCAAUAUGCUUUUAUGAGCAUCAGCCUGUGGCUCCAUUCUCAGCUCUGCCAGCUCACAGAUUUUGGAUAAGUUGCAGCCCUUCAAUGUGCCUCAGUUUCCCCAUUUGUACAACAGGAAUAUUAACAUUUGGCCACCUUUGUAAAGUGCUUUGGGAACUAGCGGGGAAAGGGCUAUAGACGCACAGAGUAUUCUUACCAUAGAAGUGUCAUGUAGUAGUAUUAAACGACCCUUUAAGCUCUCUGCACAUGGAACUCCUAUUGAUUUCAAAGGGAGGGGCUUGCAAGACUGAGCCUGUAUAGUUUUGUAACUCCAAAUUUGAUUUAAGAGAGGAAGCUCAAAACAUGGGGCAGCUCAGAAUAUUUUUCUUUUCCAAUGUUUGGAUUUCUUUUAAAUUUAAUCCUAGCUCUGAGUUUCCCAUGUUUAGAAUGGAUCACUACAAGAUUUUUGUACUCUCAAAUCCCUGAUAAAUACUCCUAAUCUGAAUUCCAGCUUGACCAAAUUGUCUGGGAAUGCCGUGUCUAGUAGAAAUGUGGCUCUGAAGGAUGACUUUGACAUAACAUCAAAAGGAUGAGAGUGACUGAUGCCAUGUCAGUCUCACUGGGGCAGAAACCCUUCCAGCAACUGACACAUCAAAACAUCUUCUUACUUGUCCUGACCCACAGGAAUUUGAGUCUGCUAACAAAGAGGCAUUGUUGGGAUCCAUGUUUCCCAAGAUGUCUGGCUU